GGGGAGUGAAAUAGAACAUGAAACCUUAAGCUUACAAGCAGUAGGAGGACGACUUAUCGUUUGACUGCGUGCCUGUUGAAGAAUGAGCCGGCGACUUAUAGUUAGUGGCAGGUUAAGGUAGAGAAUACUGGAGCCACAGUGAAAGCGAGCUUUAAUAGAGCGUGUGUCACUAGUUAUAGACCCGAACCCGGAUGAUCUAACCAUGGCCAGGAUGAAGCCUAGGUAAU
rnacentral:rRNA from 1 species